UAGACGUCGUCCAUAGAUACAGACUUUUGUCCUCGUUCCAAAGGGUUGUGCUGCCUUCAUUUUCCCCAUCCUGCCACUGACGUGCCAUCGGAUUGGGAGAGCAGGAUCUCCGAAGCCUACGUCCCCUUGUGUCCCUGCACAUGAUUGAUGUCGUAUCAGGUUUUUGGGAAGCAUUGUUGCGACUGCUCGUUGUUUGUCUGCUUUAUCUACGUCGACAUCAUGGUUCUCGUCGGUCUACUACAUCUACUCCUGCGCUGUUCUAGCACCGACAACCCAUUGUAAGAAUUUUAUACGUAUAUUUAUUCUAUCACUAGUGCUAAUUUAUGAAUUGCUAGUGAGUUAUACAAAUACGAAGCAUGUUGUUGUUUCUUGUAUUAUUGCUAUUAUCGGAAUCAAUUUGUUCAUCUCUAAAUUGCUAUUAUUUCCAACAGAUUUCACCACUAUUUGACAUCGACAAAAACUCGUGCUCCAAUCGGAUGUCCACCACUUUGCCAAACUAAAGAUGAGCAGAACAGCUAGGGCCAUGACAACCUCUUGACGAAUAGCUUUGGACACCACAACCCAAAGGCCAACUACGAGGUCACGGAGGCACUCUGCUAUAGUGAUGGAAUCAUAACAAGAUAAUGCCCUACAGAAUAUUCUUGCAAGAAUACACCUAUGUGAACCUAACUGUUGGUCGUAAUUUGUGUGAAUUGGGAAUUCCUUAAGAAGUUCAUGAAUAGAGACAGGAGUAUGACCUAUACACUACACUCGCGAGGUAGGCAAUUGGUAGCCUAGUAUCAGUUCAUAUGACAAGUGAAACUUGUUCACACUAAACUAUCAAUUCAAGGCUUAGUCUAUUAUGUAAUUGUGGAUGAGCCUAGCUAGUCGUUCUAGGUAGAUGUUCAACCUGUCGGUCUCUAUUGAAAAGCUGACAUUAACAGUACUUUGGUACAUGGAGGAUGAAAUGUGCCUCUCAAAUCUGGUGGAGAGUAUUAAAGAAAUUGGAUUUAUAAUAAUUUCUAUAAAUCACAAAGACCCACUUAUACACGCAUAGUAUGGUGGGAACGUUAGUACCACCUUGCUACUCCAGGUGGAGUGAAGCCAACUUAAAUACAUGAGUUGUCUCCACAUCGUUGAAGCUAUUGAGGAGAGGAAAAUGAAGAACAUGCGCUCGCUCACUCGUCUCGCCUCGCCGGGUCGGACCGGACGGGGCAAUGGGCGCGGGCGCACGACAUGCGCAUGAAUGGGCUGAUGAUUUCUCGCCUCCGCCCUUGUGAGUGCGCGACCUUCUUUUGCCACUCUAUAUUUUUGCAUGCAUGCAGAAAAUUAUGCUGUCCUAUUCUGGUAAGCAAUUAUUCUCGCAUUAAUUGUGAUUGAUCUAAUUGAUAGCGAGUCAAUCACGUUAGUGCUGUGAUCAUGCGGCAAAUUACUUACCUUAGCCGCGUUGUGAGUAUAAAAUUGUGGCUAGACGUCGUCCCCAGAUACAAACUUUUCUCCUCGUUCCAAAGAGAUGUGCUGCCUUCGUUUUUCCCAUCCCGCGUGCCAUCGUGUUUAGGAGAGCAGUAUCUCUGAAGCCUACGUCCCGUCGUGUCCCUACAAGGGUACAGGUCAUAUCAGGUUUUUGGGAAGUGUUGUCGCGACUGCUCGUUAUUCAUCUGCUUUCUCUACGCCAACAUCAUGGUUCUCGUUGGUGUUCUAUGUCUACUCCUGCGUUGUUCUAGCGCCGACAAUCCCACUGUAAGGAUUUAUACGUAUAUUUUUUCUGCCACUAGCGCUAAUUUAUGAACUGCUAGUGAGUUAUACAUAUAUGAAGCUUGUUGUUGUUUCUUAUAUUAUUAUUAUCGGAAUCAAUUUGUUCAUCUUUAAAUUGCUAUUAUUUCCAAUAGAUUUCACCACUAUUUGACAUCGACAAAAACUCGUGCUCCAACCGGAUGUCCACCACUUUGCCAAACUAAAGCUGGGCACAAUAGCUAGCUAAGGGUUGAUUUGGUGACAAGGGGAUCACGGGAGGAUUGGAGGGGAUUAAAGGAGAAAUAAACUAUUUUCCCCCUCAAUCCUUUCCAAUCCUCCCGGUAUCCCGGAUCACCAAAUCAGCACUAAGGGCCACGACAACCCCAUACGAAUAGCUUUGAACACCACAACCCAAAGGCUGAUUGAGGUCACGGAGGCACUCCGCUAUAGCGAUCGAAUCAUCUGGUGUCAUCAUGGGGAUGGCGGUGUUACAGGAGGUAGUCCCAUCCAUGUGCAUAUUUUGGGUUGACCGGAAGGCGUAGUUUUCUUAAUGAGCCUCAUCAUGUCCUGGACGUUCGCCUUGUGGUGUGGUGAGUGUCGAGAGAUUAUGACAUUUUCCAUUUCCAAGAAAGAGGUUUGUUAAAUUGUCAAGAAACCCUUAUUUUACAGAUUUAGAUGGAUCCAUAAUUCAUAGUCAUCACAUACACACAUUGGUAAUUAUAACAAGGAGACAACAUUCUAAGUGGCAAAAUAUUGAUUAUUUUGUGGGUGUGUGCAUCACCUCUCGUCCAUAUGUGAGGCGACAUUGCCUUCACGACCAACAUCUCCCACAAGACUGCAAAUGCCAGUAACUAAACUGAAGUUGUGAUGAAGAUGGGACAAUAGGCAAAAGACAAUAAAUAAGGGCAUGGCAAUGCUUACCCUUAAUCUCUGCUCGUGCCUCGGCAUCCUCCUCCUUGAUGUAGAGGCUUCCUAGUGGACCCCAUCAAGUAUGGUGUGCAUGACUUUUAGAGACAUGUACGCACGGAUUGUCAACCUCUAGACUGACUACUCCAUAUAACACUUAGCAAUCAUCGACUAUGGGGGUGAUAGGAGCACUUCACCCCUAUAAAUAGGGGUACAUUGCCCCUACAUAACUUACUUUUUUUCUGCUGCUCAUGUGCUCUCAUGUCCCUGAAUCGCUCUGUAUCUGAAGCUUUGAAGCAUCACCAGCAUCUUUGAGCACCUUAUGAGUGUUUUGAAAGUAUAUUUGUAAUCGUUUGCUAUAAGGAAGUAUGAUAAAGAACAAAACUCAUAAUAUGUGACUCGGAUACCUUUAUGUUAUAACUUAUCACACAUUCAUGUUUGCUCUAAUCUUCCCCUCUUAAUGUGUCCCUUCUUCAUGAGUUGAUCAAGGAGGAGGAGAUCUCAUUACUCUAAUUGUGUUGCCAUAUUUUGGUUUCUCACAGGAACCUCCACAGGUGACCAACAAUGGCACCCACCUACGGUGAAUCCAUGACCAACAACAAAUCUUUACCACACCUUCGAAGAAGACCAUGACAAGCAACAAUAUCUUCAUUGUCUCUUCACAAGAUCAAGGCUAACUUAUAUUCCGUGUCAUGGGGGUCUAGCUUUGAGCUCGACAACAAGAGGUAGAGGAACGAAGCAAAAAGAAGGGUGUUGUCACACCCAGAUUUAAGGACAAAUCCAGACACGUAUCAAAUGUGUGCUAGGAUAUGUUGUAAUAUUAGAGAAAUAAGUGACAUGCUUCCAUCAUAUUUAAAUAUAUUAAAUAUUUUAAUUCUGAUUAAAACAGACAUAUAACUCAGAUAAAUGCCAUAUAUAAUUAUAACAGCAACGAAUAGUAGCAAUUCCAUUAAAUGAAACAUAGUUACUCAGGUUCAUUUAUAAAUUAAACAUGGUUUGUAGAUGAAGAAGGCAUAUUAAACACAUAAACAUAAUUGUUUAUAUUAAGAUAUUGCUAUCAAAAUAGCGGGUUGCUGCACUAGACAGCCUUCCAACGCUAAGUGGUGAUCAUAGAUCCUCGACUAACGUGACAGUCCUACCUUACCAAAUCAGGGUUUUAGAACAAAUAUUAUAAGCCUAGAAUUCAAGCAUGAAUAUC
rnacentral:lncRNA from 1 species